UGUUAUAUGCAUUGGUGGUUUUGCCUC
rnacentral:piRNA from 1 species